rnacentral:rRNA from 1 species
CAGCAGCCGCGGUAAUACCGGCGGCCCGAGUGGCGGUCACUAUUAUUGGGCUUAAAACGUCCGUAGCCGGGUUGGGAAGUCCUCCGGGAAAUCUGGCCGCUUAAAGGUCAGAAUGCCGGAGGAUACUCCCAGCCUAGGGAGCGGGAGAGGCCGAGGGGAUUCCCGGAGUAGGGGUGGAAUCCUAUAAUCCCGGGAGGACCACCUGUGGCGAAGGCGCUCGGCUGGAACGCGUCCGACGGUGAGGGACGAAGGCCAGGGGAGCAAACCGGAUUAGAUACCCGGGUAGUCCUGGCUGUAAACGAUGCGGACUUUGUGUCGGACAAGCUAUGAGCUGGUCCGGUGCCGGAGGGAAACCGUUAAGUCCGCCGCCUGGGGAGUACGGCCGCAAGGCUGAAACUUAAAGGAAUUGGCGGG